CAUUGUAUUCUACUUAUAUUAAAAUAGAGAAAAUUAUAAAAGAUCAAUUCAUCAGUGUGGACAAGAGAUACACCUGCGGAAAUAUAGAUUGUAAGAAUGAUAAUAGAAAACAAAAUCAAUGUUUAGAAUCAAAACAUACUUUUAAACAAAGUAUAGUCACAGAACAACUGCAUUAAAGCCUUAUCUCACAAUUACAUUCUACAUAAAAUAUUUUAUGUGUAUAAUUAAGCUAAUAAACAAACAGUUUUGCCAUUCGUCACUGUGAGAAGUCAUAGUAUGUAACAAUUAGUAGAUCUAUCCAAUUACAACAUAAACUACUAGAUCUAGAAAUUCCUUCGCCAAUGUAGGCAUUUAAGACAAAACAAAUUAUUAUUGAUACACAAGUUGCAUUUUAAGAUUUAUGUAUGAAAGGAAUUAUACUGUCCAUUAUUAUUUUUCGACUUGUUGCUUCAUAUUGGACUGACCUCAUACUCUUUCUCUGUUUCUUUUUCUAAUAUUAUUUUACAAUUAAUAUAGGGAAUAAUAUUAUAAAUGUUCAAUAGGUAUUUCAAUAUUUCUCUUUGUAUUUCAGAAUAUGGAUGAUGAAAGAAAGAAAAGACAUGAUUGAGAAAAAAAUUAUCAAAUAUUUUCAUAAACCGAAUCAGCAUUACAUAAAUGGUUUAGAAGAAUCCACGCAGUCACAUGGCAGAAUAUUUAAGAUUCUUGGUGUGAACGAUCCAAAGUACAUUAGUAGUACAGCAGUAUAUAUACAGGAUUUGGAAUAAGUUAGGCGAUCCAAAAUGAAAACAGCCUGUAUCCGCCGUUUACCUUUACUGUAAGUUCUAUUGGAACGCAAUAUACCUUACUUACAGAGAAGGAAGGGGAGUGGGGAUUGAAGAUUUGUUAAGUCGAACUUCGCGAUUUCUCUGGAACUCAUCGCAAUUAAUGAAUUUUUCAAAAUAUAUCAGUCGAUAUUAGGAUUUUCUACCAUGGCUUUACUUUACUGGUGGGGUAUGCCAAAGUACAUAUAUACAUAUAGUUUUACUGUUUCGUAAUGCAAACUGUGUAUUUCACCAUCACAUGACGGUAGCUGCAGACCCUUAGAGCACAUAUUUCUUAAUCAGCCCCGGGGUAUUUUAUUUAUUUCAAUAAAAAAAAUUUUGAAAACUA